AACGAACUCUGGCGGCAGGCUUAACACAUGCAAGUCGAGCGCCCAGCAAUGGGAGCGGCGGACGGGUGAGUAAGACGAGGGAAUAUGCCUUUCGGUACGGAACAACUCAGGGAAACUUGAGCUAAUGCCGUAUACGCCCUUACGGGGAAAGAUUUAUCGCAGAAAGAUUAGCCCGUGUCUGAUUAGCUUGAUGGUGAGGUAACGGAUCACAAAUGCGACGUUCAGUAGCAGGUUUGAGAGAACGCACAGCAACACUGGGAAUGCGACACGGCCCAGAAUCCUAAGGGAGGAAGCAGUGGGGAAUCUGGGACAAUGGGGGAAACCCUGUUCCAGCCAUGCCGCGUGAGUGAUGAAGGCUUUCGGGUUGUAAAACUCUUUCGGCGUGGACGAUAAUGACGGUACCCGCAGAAGAAGCUCCGGCUAACUUCGUGCCAGCCGCCGCCGUAAAAC
rnacentral:rRNA from 1 species